GUCCCUGUCACGCAAUACAUAGCGCGUUGGACUUCUAAUCCAAAGAUCAUGGGUUUCGAAUCCACCUGGAAUG